UGUGGGAUCCUCCCGGGACUGGGGGCACGAACCCGCAUCCCCUGCAUCUGCAGGCGGACUCUCAACCACUGCGCCACCAGGGAAGCCCCACAUGUUUUUUUGAUCGUGUGUAUUCACAGCUCUCUGUCUUACUUCAUACUUAAUUCUCUAUCAGGGUUAACACAUUUAUAACUUUCAUUAUUUUGUCAAGUAGUCGUGAUACUACCUGUUUGAAUUGUACUAUUUCCAUAAAAGUCCAUGAGAAAGAAGAAAAAAAGUAAUUGUUAACAGCUAGCAAUGAGACUGUUGAGCAACGAGAAUAAAGAAGCUGGUGGUGAAGCUUGUGCCCAGAUUCAACCUUGGUGAAGAAGUGUUGAUAAGAGAUAAUUAACGGGAGAUGUAAUUUAAGGGAGGUCACUGGACGUCGAUACUUGGACUGUAGAACUAGAGGUGUUGUCACACGAUAUUACAGUCCUUCGCUGGUCUGUCUUCAGCAGUGUGAGCUCUACUUAAAGCUUGAGGGCUAGGUGCCCCUGCCUCGCCCCACAGCCUUGUAGAAGACCCAGCCUGGAGGCGGGUUUUUUUGUUGCUGUUGCCGCUGUCGGGAACUAAGAAAAGGCUGAGAUCUUUGUUGGGUCAGUAGUGGUGUGGAAGAGGAGCGGUGCGGGACAACAGGAGUGAUUCAUAGGCUGGACUAAAUAUUGAGAGCCGGAGCUCAGAGAGUGACCGUGAACACAGAAGAGCUUGGAAAGUUCACAGAGAGCUUGAAGCCGUCAAGCUGUCUCCUGAAGUGGCUGCACUGCUCUGCUCUGCGUUCCCACCAGCGAUGUAAGGGAGUUCCUGCCGCUCCGCACCCUCUCUAGCACUUGGUGUUGUCAGUGGUUUUGGAUUUUGACCAUUCUAAUAGGUGUGUAGCGGUAUUGUGUGUUGCUUUACAUUUUCCUGAUGACAUAUGCUG